rnacentral:rRNA from 1 species
UACGUAGGGUGCGAGCGUUGUCCGGAUUUACUGGGCGUAAAGAGCUCGUAGGCGGUUUGUCACGUCGUCUGUGAAAACCCUAGGCUUAACCUCGGGCCUGCAGGCGAUACGGGCAGACUUGAGUACUGUAGGGGAGAGUGGAAUUCCUGGUGUAGCGGUGGAAUGCGCAGAUAUCAGGAGGAACACCGGUGGCGAAGGCGGGUCUCUGGGCAGUAACUGACGCUGAGACGCGAAAGCGUGGGGAGCAAACAGG